AGCCCUAAAAAGCUCCGUAAGCA
rnacentral:tRNA from 1 species